UACGUAGGGCGCAAGCGUUGUCCGGAAUUAUUGGGCGUAAAGAGCUCGUAGGCGGUCUGUUGCGUCCGCUGUGAAAACUCGGGGCUUAACCCCGAGCCUGCAGUGGAUACGGGCAGACUAGAGGUAGGUAGGGGAGAAUGGAAUUCCCGGUGUAGCGGUGAAAUGCGCAGAUAUCGGGAGGAACACCGGUGGCGAAGGCGGUCUCUGGGCCUACC
rnacentral:rRNA from 1 species